rnacentral:rRNA from 1 species
AAAUGAAUUGACGGGGGCCCGCACAAGCAGUGGAGUAUGUGGUUUAAUUCGAAGCAACGCGAAGAACCUUACCAAGACUUGACAUGACAGUGAAUAACAUAGAGAUAUGUUAGCUCUUCGGAGCACUGCCACAGGUGGUGCAUGGUUGUCGUCAGCUCGUGUCGUGAGAUGUUGGGUUAAGUCCCGCAACGAGCGCAACCCCUAUUUUUAGUUGCCAUCAUUAAGUUGGGCACUCUAAAGAGACUGCCGGCGAUAAGUCGGAGGAAGGUGGGGAUGACGUCAAAUCAUCAUGCCCCUUAUGUUUUGGGCUACACACGUACUACAAUGGUCGUUACAAAGAGGAGCAAUCCCGCGAGGAGGAGCAAAUCUCAAAAAGCGACCCCAGUUCAGAUUGCAGGCUGAAACUCGCCUGCAUGAAGUCGGAAUUGCUAGUAAUGGCAGGUCAGCAUACUGCCGUGAAUACGUUCCCGGGCCUUGCACACACCGCCCGU